rnacentral:rRNA from 1 species
GACGAACGCUGGCGGCGUGCUUAACACAUGCAAGUCGAACGGAAAGGCCCUGCUUUUGUGGGGUGCUCGAGUGGCGAACGGGUGAGUAACACGUGAGUAACCUGCCCUUGACUUUGGGAUAACUUCAGGAAACUGGGGCUAAUACCGGAUAGGAGCUCCUGCUGCAUGGUGGGGGUUGGAAAGUUUCGGCGGUUGUGGAUUGACUCGCGGCUUAUCAGCUUGUUUGUGGGGUAGUGGCUUACCAAGGCUUUGACGGGUAGCCGGCAUGAGAGGGUGACCGGCCACAUUGGGACUGAGAUACGGCCCAGACUCCUACGGGAGGCAGCAGUGGGGAAUAUUGCACAAUGGGCGGAAGCCUGAUGCAGCAACGCCGCGUGCGGGAUGACGGCCUUCGGGUUGUAAACCGAUUUCGCCUGUGACGAAGCGUGAGUGACGGUAAUGGGUAAAGAAGCACCGGCUAACUACGUG